UCCUUUCUACUAUUAAUCUCUGUAUUUCAAUGACGUCACAUUUAGAUUGCUGUGGCUGUAAAGAAUUCUCUGUCAAGUCUGUGGAGAGAAAGAAUACGUAUAUUUAUUCUAUCUCUCGAAAUAUCUAUAGAUAUAUACAUGGAAUUUUAGGUUAUCAUGGCACAAUCAACAACUAGUGGAACAUCUUCUCGACGAUAUAUGAGAGAACAUGAUGUUAAUGUACCAUCUUCAUCACGUUAUGUGGAUAGUGAAUGGGAAACAAAAGAGGCUUUACGACAAAGAGAACUUGAGGAAGCAAGAGCACGAGCUGCACAGAUGGAAAAAACAAUGAGAUGGUGGUCAGAUUGUACUGCAAAUUGGCGUGAGAAAUGGAGUAAAGUACGUAAUGAAAGAAAUAUGGCAAGAGAAGAAGCAAAGAUGCUUAGAGCAAAAUUAGAAAUUGCUGUAAAAGAUGCAAAUAGUUAUAAACAUGAAUGUCAAGAACUUGAAUUACAAAAUGAGCAGUUAAAAAAAGAAAUGGAAAAAAUACAUAUGGUAUUGUUAAAACAUGCUGGACAAUUUGAUCAACAAAUUUUUACAGUUUUAGAAUCAGAUCCACAAUUAAGAAAUACAUUAGAUAUUAAUGAAUUAUUGAAAUUUUAUAAUAAUGUAGAACAGAGUGAAAGUGUAAAUUCCCAAAAAGAUUUACUUUCUUGUAAAGUUUCACUUGAUGAAUCUAAUGUUUGCUUAGGAAGUCAUAAUAUUUUACCAGAUAGAGAUAUUGAAGAAUAUGUAUUACAAGGUGCAGUGCCAAAGCAUGCUGUAGAAAUAUAUAAAGAUAGUUCCCUUUAUUCAUUAGAUAAAGAUAUUGUGAGAUUAGUUGAUUCUAAUUCUACAGAAAAUAAUUUAGAAAAAAACCAGUCUUCAUUACAAACAUGUACAGAUGAAUCUUAUGUACAAAAAAUAUUAUUGCUUCAACAUAAAUUGGAUGAAGCUGCAAAAACUAUAUCUACAGAAAGAGAAGAAAAAAAUUCAUUACAUCAUGGUAUGGAGAAAUUAAAAGCAGAAAUAAUGCAAUUAAGAAAACAGUGUGAAGAAUUAGAGGAAAGUAAAGCUGAAAUUACAAGAGAAUUACUUGAAUUGAAAGAUCGAUUUCAAAUUGAAUUUAGUGAUGUUCAAGCUGGUAUAAUUGAUGAAGCUUCAAGUAGAGAAGGAAUGAAUCGUCGUUUGUGUGAACUUAGAGCAGAAUUAGAAAGACUUCAAGCAGAAAAUGCAGCAGAAUGGGGAAAACGAGAACGUUUAGAAACAGAAAAAAUUUCUUUAGAACGUGAAAAUAAACAGCUUCGUAAUGAAUUAAAUGAUUUGCAAGAAAGGAUAGAAUCUCGACGAUCACGUCCUGUUUCCACUUCAGAUAAUGAUGCGAGACAAUUACAACAAGAAUUUUUAGUUAGGAAUGUGACAAUAUUAAAAAAAUCUUUGGAAGAAAAAACAACAGAACUUUCACAUGCCAUGAGAAGAUCAGAACAAUAUGAAGCAGAAGUAAAAAGAGUUAGAGCAAGAGUAGAAGAAUUGAAAAAAGAAUUAGCUGCAGUUCAAGAUGAAGUAGAUGCUGCAACUAACAGUGUUCGUAAAUUGCAACGAGCAAAUGAAGAUCUUUUAGAACAAUUAGAAUCAGCUAAUGUACAAUUGGAACAUUUUCGAAAUAAAAUUAUUACUGACAAUUAAUUUGUUAUCAGUACUGAUUCUUACACAGUUGGUGUAGGAACAGGAGAAACUCUUGAAGAAAAAUUAUAUACAACUAAUAAUGGUAAAUUAACAAAUGAAUUUGAGCAAGCCUAGUAUUUAAUUAUUUUAAUAAUUAUAUUAAAUUAAUUU